rnacentral:rRNA from 1 species
UAGGGAAUAUUGGACAAUGGGGGCAACCCUGAUCCAGCCAUGCCGCGUGAGUGAAGAAGGCCCUCGGGUUGUAAAGCUCUUUUGUCCGGAAAGAAAAGCAUUCGGUGAAUACCCGGAUGUUCUGACGGUACCGGAAGAAUAAGCACCGGCUAACUACGUGCCAGCAGCCGCGGUAAUACGUAGGGUGCGAGCGUUAAUCGGAAUUACUGGGCGUAAAGCGUGCGCAGGCGGUUUUGUAAGACAGAGGUGAAAUCCCCGGGCUCAACCUGGGAACUGCCUUUGUGACUGCAAGGCUGGAGUGCGGCAGAGGGAGAUGCAAUUCCGCGUGUAGCAGUGAAAUGCGUAGAUAUGCGGAGGAACACCGAUGGCGAAGGCAAUCCCCUGGGCCUGCACUGACGCUCAUGCACGAAAGCGUGGGGAGCAAACA